GUGCCUAUAGCUCAGGUGGAUAGAGCGUGAGAUUCCUAAUCUCAAGGCCGCAGGUUCGAGCCCUGCUAGGCACACCA
rnacentral:tRNA from 1 species